GAUGAACGCUGGCGGCGUGCCUAAUACAUGCAAGUCGAGCGAACGGACGAGAAGCUUGCUUCUCUGAUGUUAGCGGCGGACGGGUGAGUAACACGUGGAUAACCUACCUAUAAGACUGGGAUAACUUCGGGAAACCGGAGCUAAUACCGGAUAAUAUUUUGAACCGCAUGGUUCAAAAGUGAAAGACGGUCUUGCUGUCACGUAUAGAGGGAUCCGCGCUGCAUUAGCUGGUUGGUAAGGUAACGGCUUACCAAGGCAACGAUGCAUAGCCGACCUGAGAGGGUGAUCGGCCACACUGGAACUGGGACACGGUCCAGACUCCUACGGGAGGCAGCAGUAGGGAAUCUUCCGCAAUGGGCGAAAGCCUGACGGAGCAACGCCGCGUGAGUGAUGAAGGUCUUCGGAUCGUAAAACUCUGUUAUUAGGGAAGAACAUAUGUGUAAGUAACUGUGCACAUCUUGACGGUACCUAAUCAGAAAGCCACGGCUAACUACGUG
rnacentral:rRNA from 1 species